CGUUCCCGGGCCUUGUACACACCGCCCGUCAAGCCAUGGAAGCUGGGGGUGCCUGAAGUCGGUGACCGCAAGGAGCUGCCUAGGGUAAGACUAGUAACUAGGGCU
rnacentral:rRNA from 1 species